CCAUGAAAUUUCCUUUGCUUUCCCUCAUCCUCACACACUGUCACUAGUCACUACUCACACCAUCUCUUCUUAGUAUUUGAUUCUAAUCUCAAAUUUUCUCAGGAAAAUUAUAAUUUCCCAGCAUUUUCUCGGAAUUCUCCUUCUACAUUCUGAUUCAUCCUCCCCGACAAUCGAUCCGCACCUAUAAACCUAAACGUUCGUAUCUCCGGCUUUCUGUUUUGCUUUUCAAUUCAUUUCCCCCCUUCUACGUCUGAUCCCCGAAGGGGAAGAGUUACCCAAAUUUUGCUUUCUUUAACUGUUCAAUUGGGGUUUUGGCAUCAGAUUUGUGUGUGUUCUGUUCUGGAUUGAUUCCGGUGCCGCGACGAAUUGUGUGCAGCUGCUUCACCCAGAAUUAGGGUUUUGGCGUCUGCUCACAAUCACAAGAUGAUAAUCAAGGAGAUUCUGGAUGCUGAAAUGCAGCACCUGAAGAGGGGUAAGCUAGAGGAACAAGAGAACUGUGCCUCUGAGCAUUCGCCGAUUACGAAGAAGCAGAGGGUGGACGGUGAUGAAGAUUUCACCAGUGAAGGACAGAAUCCGAAUCCUAUGGAGUUGAAUGCUGCUCGUGAAAAUGCGCCUCCGUUGUUGCGUUCAUCGAGAGGUCGCGCUCGGGUUCUUCCAUCCAGGUUCAGGGAUUCAGUUAUUGAUAGUAAUAGUUUGCGAGGUGUUGAAAUGGGAUCUGUGAAGCAGGGAGGGAAGAGGAGUGAAUGUGGCUCUGAAAAUUCUCUUGCUAACAAGUUUAAGAGCAUUAGAACGACGGUUACUGGGGGUCGUUCAUUGUUGGUGAAAACGGAGAGUGAUAAUGGAAAUGGAAAAAAGAGGAAGGAAACUUUCAAGCCAGAGGAUUUUGCUUUGGGUGAUGUGGUUUGGGCAAAAUGUGGGAAGCAAUAUCCUGCAUGGCCUGCAGUGGUGAUUGAUCCCAUGUCACAAGCUCCUGAAUCGGUUCUCAACUGUUGUGUUCCUGGUGCAACUUGCGUCAUGUUCUUUGGUUAUUCAAAUAACGAAAAGCAAAGGGAUUAUGCAUGGGCGAAGCAGGGGAUGAUAUUCCCCUUCUUGGAAUUCAUGGAUAGAUUUCAGGGGCAGACCCAAUUAUUCAAGAGCAAGCCAAGUGAGUUUCAAGCGGCAAUGGAGGAGGCAAUGCUAGCAGAAGAAGGCAUUCUGGACUCACACUUGGAGGGUGCACGGUCCUAUGUUGAUCAGGAACAUCACUGUGAAAACCAGGAGACAACGUCUUGCGCUGGUUGUGGUUUGAUGUUGCCGUACAAAAGCAUGAAAAAGAUUAAGGAUUCAAGCUGUGCUCCUCAGUAUUAUUGUAAACCUUGUGCAAAGUUACUAAAAUCAAAACAAUGUUGUGGCAUUUGCAAAAAGAUUUGGCAGUGGCACCAUUCAGAUGGUGGAAGUUGGGUAUGCUGUGAUGGUUGCAAUGUUUGGGUGCAUGCGGAGUGUGACAAAAUUUCCAGCAAACUUUUCAAGGAUCUGGAAAAUAUGGAAUACUAUUGCCCAGAAUGCAGGGGAAAGUUUAAUUGUAAAUUAUCAGCAGCACAAACACCACAAAUUAAGUCAAUGGAUAAUAGCCAAAAACCUGUGCUACCGGAAAAGCUAGCGGUGGUGUGUAAUGGCAUGGACGGAGUUUAUAUUCCAGAGCUUCAUUUAGUUAUGUGUAAGUGUGGGUCAUGUGGUUCAAGGGAGCAUACACUCACUGAAUGGGAGCGGCAUGCAGGUUGCAGAGCCAGAAAAUGGAAAUAUAGUGUGAAAAUAGCAAACACAAAGCAACCACUAAUAAAAUGGAUCUCAGAACAUAAUUCUCAACCUGGAAAUUUCCUGCAGUUAGAUCAGAAACAAGUGCUUUCGUUUUUGCAAGAGAAGUAUGAGCCAGUUUAUGCAAAUUGGACAACAGAAAGAUGUGCCAUUUGCAGAUGGGUUGAAGAUUGGGAAGAUAACAAAAUUAUUAUCUGUAACAGGUGCCAAAUUGCAGUCCACCAAGAGUGCUAUGGAGCAAGGAAUGUUCAAGAUUUUACUUCCUGGGUUUGUAGAGUCUGUGAAACUCCUGAUGUUGAACGAGAGUGUUGCCUCUGUCCAGUAAAAGGUGGUGCACUAAAGCCUACUGAUGUGGAGAUGUUGUGGGUUCACGUGACAUGUGCUUGGUUUCGGCCUGAAGUUAUUUUCAGAAACCAUGAGGCGAUGGAACCUGCCUCUGGAAUUCUUAAGAUUCCUCCCAAUUCCUUUUUGAAGACUUGUGUAAUCUGUAAACAAAGCCAUGGUUCCUGUACAAGUUGUUGCAAGUGUGCUACAUAUUUUCAUGUGAUGUGCGCGUCAAGAAUGGGGUAUAGCAUGGAAUUAAAUUCGACAGAGAAGAAUGGGACUCAAAGAAUGCUAAUAUACUGUGCAGUUCACAGGGUCCCAAAUCCAGAUUCUGUACUGGUUGUGCGUACACCCCAAGGGGUAUUCUCUCCAAGAACUUCGCUUCAAAAUCACAAGGGAUGCUUUAGUGGUUCAAGUUUGGUUUCAUCAAAGGAUAUGGAGCUCCUUGAACCUCCAACCUCUGAAAGUUAUGAUGUUGAGCCUCUAUCUGCUGCCAGGUGUCGUGUGUACAUAAGGUCUCCCAGUAAGAAGAGAGAUGCAGCAGUAAUGCACUUGCUUGGGGGGCCGAACCUUCAUUCUUUAAAUGCAAUAACUCAAUUGAACAGCAAUAAGGUUGCUGAAGUGUUUUCUUCUUUCAAGGAACGUCUGCACCAUUUACAUAAAACUGAAAACCACAGAGUUUGCUUUGGAAAAUCAAGUAUUCAUGGAUGGGGCCUCUUUGCUCGUAGAGAUUUGCAAGAAGGAGAAAUGGUUGUUGAGUAUCGUGGUGAGCAGGUAAGGCGUAGUGUUGCUGAUCUGAGGGAAGCAAAGUACCAUUCAGAAGACAAAGAUUGUUAUCUCUUCAAGAUUAGCGAGGAAGUGGUAAUUGAUGCAACAGAUAAGGGCAAUAUUGCACGUUUAAUAAACCAUUCUUGCAUGCCAAACUGCUAUGCAAGGAUUAUGUGUUUGGGUGAUCAUGAGAACCGGAUUGUUCUUAUUGCCAAGACCAAUAUUUCUGCUGGUGAAGAACUAAUGUAUGAUUACUUGUUUGAUCCGGAUGAGCGGGAGGGACGCAAGGUUCCCUGCCACUGCAAAGCCCCUGAUUGUAGGAAAUUUAUGAACUAGGUGAUUGCCAAUAUUCUUCAUGCGGAGAUAAUAACAUCCUUAUUCGUUUCCCCUUCCGAUUUCAAGACAGCAGAUACAAGUCUAUGACCCUGAUGAUUGCCUUCCUAAUCGUCUUCAAAGCCUCAAUCUUUCAGGUUCUCCCUUCACUGCCAUUCUUCUCCGUAGCUACACCUUCAUAAGCUGCCCAACUCAGAACAUGGGGU